UACGUAGGGUGCAAGCGUUGUCCGGAAUUAUUGGGCGUAAAGAGCUCGUAGGCGGUGUUCCAAGUCUGUUGUGAAAUCUCCCGGCUUAACUGGGAGGGUGCGGCGGAAACUGGAACGCUGGAGUAUGGGAGAGGUAAGCGGAAUUCCUGGUGUAGCGGUGAAAUGCGUAGAUAUCAGGAGGAACACCUGCGGUGUAGACGGCUUACUGGACCAUAACUGACGCUGAGGCACGAAAGCGUGGGUAGCAAACAGG
rnacentral:rRNA from 1 species